rnacentral:rRNA from 1 species
AUACGGAGGAUCCGAGCGUUAUCCGGAUUUAUUGGGUUUAAAGGGAGCGUAGGUGGACAUGUAAGUCAGUUGUGAAAGUUUGCGGCUCAACCGUAAAAUUGCAGUUGAUACUGUGUGUAUUGAGUACAGUAGAGGUGGGCGGAAUUCGUGGUGUAGCGGUGAAAUGCUUAGAUAUCACGAAGAACUCCGAUUGCGAAGGCAGCUCACUGGACUGUUACUGACACUGAGGCUCGAAAGUGUGGGUAUCAAACAGGAUUAGAUACCCUGGUAGUCCACACAGUAAACGAUGAAUACUCGCUGUUUGCGAUAUACAGCAAGCGGCCAAGCGAAAGCAUUAAGUAUUCCACCUGGGGAGUACGCCGGCAACGGUGAAACUCAAAUGAAUUGACGGGG